rnacentral:rRNA from 1 species
GAUGAACGCUAGCUACAGGCUUAACACAUGCAAGUCGAGGGGAAACGAUAGAGAAAGCUUGCUUUUUCUAGGCGUCGACCGGCGCACGGGUGAGUAACGCGUAUCCAACCUGCCCACCACUUGGGGAUAACCUUGCGAAAGUAAGACUAAUACCCAAUGAUAUCUCUAGAAGACAUCUGAAAGGGAUUAAAGAUUUAUCGGUGAUGGAUGGGGAUGCGUCUGAUUAGCUUGUUGGCGGGGUAACGGCCCACCAAGGCUACGAUCAGUAGGGGUUCUGAGAGGAAGGUCCCCCACAUUGGAACUGAGACACGGUCCAAACUCCUACGGGAGGCAGCAGUGAGGAAUAUUGGUCAAUGGGCGAGAGCCCUGAACCAGCCAAGUAGCGUGCAGGAUGACGGCCCUAUGGGUUGUAAACUGCUUUUAUAAGGGAAUAAAGUGGGUCACGUGUGACUUUUUGCAUGUACCUUAUGAAUAAGGACCGGCUAAUUCC